rnacentral:rRNA from 1 species
AACGCUCGUAGUCUGAGGUAACUCCUUUUGGAACAACCGCUCGCCUCGCUAGUCAACUGACUGGUGAGAUCCCGACGGUUUUUCACCUUGAAUAAAUCAGAGUGUUCAAGGCAGGCACAGCCUGAAUACUUCCGCACGGAAUGAGACGAAUAUUAUUUCCCUUGUUUCGGUGCUUGGGUUUGUUAAUAUCUUUAGGAACAGUCGAGGACAUUUGUACUUAAUCGAGAGAGGUGAAAUUCUUGGACCGAUUAAUGACAGACAAAAGCGAAAGCAUCUGCCAAGGAUGUUUUCUUUGAUCAAGAACGAAGGUCAGGGUAUCGAAGACGAUCAGAUACCGUCGUAGUCCUGACUGUAAACUAUGCCGACUGGAGUUCCAUUGAAAAGCUUCAAAUUCAGUGGGGAUCCAGAGAGAAAUCAAAGUUUUUGGGUUCUGGGGGAAGUAUGGUCGCAAGGCUGAAACUUGAAGGAAUUGACGGAAGGGCACCACCAGGCGUGGAGCUUGCGGCUUAAUUUGACUCAACGCGGGAAAACUUACCAGGUCAAAACAUGGUAAUGAUUGACAGGCUGAUAGUCCUUUCUCGAUUCCAUGGCUGGUGGUGCAUGGCCGUUCUUAGUUGGUGGACUGAUCUGUCUGGUUAAUUCCGGUAACGAACGAGACCUUGGCCUGCUAAUUAGGGGAGGCUCUUUUGCGCCUCCGCCUUCUUAGAGGGACAAUGAUGGUUACAUCACUGAAGCUCGAGGCGAUAACAGGUCUGUUAUGCCCUUAGAUGUCCUGGGCCGCACGCGUGCUACAAUGACGCACUCAGCA